UCUAGCGAUGAGACUAUAUUUUAAAAUAUUAUAUAAUAAAAUAUUAAAAUUUCGAUUUUAUUACACAAAAAAAAAUUUCAUUUUUAAUUCAAAAUUAUUAUUUUUAAAAUACAAUAUUUCAAAGAACUUUAUAGUUGCAUAAUUUUUUUAAUUACUUUGUUUUUCUUUAAAAUUUUAUCUUAAAUUCUUAUCACCACACGUGGUACAUAUUUACUUAAGUCUUUUUUUUAUAAAAACCGAAAAAUUAAAUUUUUACUCUUAAAUUAAAAAUUUUUUUCAAGACGCAUAAAUUUUUUAAAAUUAUUAAAAGAACAUUCUAUAAAAAAAAUAAGCCGGAAAUUAAUAUAAAAACAAAUGAUAAUGGAUAGAAAAUAAAUGAGUCAACAUAACCUAAAAAUCUAUACACACUUUUUUUUUUUUUUGAGGAAAUAGAUUUAUAUUUAUAGAAAAUAAUUGAAGGACAAGUGAAUGGAAAAUUUUUGAAUUUAUAAUCAAAAUACAUUGAGAAAAUAUUUUCUUUUUAAAUAAAUAUAAAAAUCAACAAGUGGGUUUAAAAAAAAAAUAAAUAAAUUGAAAUUAAAAAGGAUACAAAAUAAUGAAUCUCGAAGAUUUGCCAUGGGAUGAUGUGAUUUUCAAGGAAAUUUUCAAUCUUCUAAAUUUUAAGGAUUUAAUGAAUCUUCAUGAGGUUUCAAAAAAAUUUCAACAACUCGUCAAUUCUUACCUAGAAAUAUUGAAGUAUUUCGAUUUUUCCACCUUGCAUCCUUCAACUUUUUCAAUUGUAUUAGAAAAUUGUCACAAUUUAAAGUCGAUAAAUUUCUCCAAUUGUCGUUGGCUGCGUGAUUCACACAUCGUAUAUAUUCUAAAAAAAAAUAAACAAUUAAAAUAUUUAAAUAUAAAUGGAUGCUGUGAGUUGGAAUUGAAAUUUUUUUUAGACUCAAUAUGUAAAAAUUUUAUUUCAAUUAAAUUGAAACAUUGUAAAAUAACAGAUGAAAUAAUGACAAAUCUUGUUAAAAAUUGUCCAGCGCUAGAAACACUCGAUGUACGACAUUGUAAACAAUUAACUGAUAAUGGAAUUUUAACAUUAAAAUUUUUAACAAAAUUAAAAAAAUUAUAUGUCAAUAAUUGUACAGAAAUAACAGAACGUGGUCUCGCUCCAUUUCGUCAUAAGGUGAAAAUUGAUCGAUAUCAAAGAAAAAUUUGUGUCGCUCGUCCAUUAAAUUUACAAGUGUAAAAAAAAAUAUAUACAAUUGUCGUUCUUUACAAAAAUUGUCGAAAUUUAAUUUUUUUUCUCCCCUUUCAAUGGUAAAUGGUCUUGCCAUUGAGAAGAGAAGAUAAAAAAAGAAUUGGAAAAAAAUAUCAAUUUCUGUCGAUUUUAUAGGUGAAACAAAACUCGAGGUGAGAAAACAAAAUGGCUACUAUCAUCUCACGAUUUGUAACACGGAUAAAAUUGGCAAAAAUUUAUCUUUUUUGCUAAUUCUUCUUGAAAAUUCUCCUUUCUCAACUGAACCAUUUCAGAGAAAAAAUUUCUAUAAAUAAAAAAAAAACAUAACCUAAAAAAAUCAGUUUUAAUGAUUCUUGCCAUCGAGAAUAGAAGAUUAGAAAAAGAAUUUCGUAAAAAAAUCCACUUUUCUUGUUUUUAUCGUAUAAACAAUUUUUAAGGUGAGACAAAAUGGCGAUCGUCCAUCACCUCGCAACUUGUCACAUCGAUAAAAUCGAGAAAAAUGAAUCUUUUACGCAAAUUCUUUUUGAAAUCUCUUUAACUCAACUGAAGAAAUUUAUUUCUUUUCUUAAUCGUAAACUUAAUCUAAAUUGAGAGGAAUUGAAGGAAAUUACAUUUUCAAGUUUAAAAGCUCCUUUAUUUAUCGAUAUAAGACAACACAUUAAAGACACUGGAAUAAAGUGUACGAUAUAUAUAUAUAUAGCAAAUAGUAUCAAGGACGUAAAAAAUUACAUUUUUGACAAUGAUUGAGCGAUCUUUGCACGAAAGCAAUUAUAACUCAAGUCUAAAAAAAAAAAUUUAAUUGGAAGAUUUGCUGCUUUCUGCGCCGCUUUCUGCAAAGUUGACUCGACCAAUGUAUUUUGAAUUUGGAACUCAGCAGAAAAAAAGGAUUAGGAGCAAAAAAAAUUGGAUUGAACAAGAGGACAAAAAAAGGGGAAGGGGGUGGAGACAAAAAAAGGUCAAAAAAGCAGAAGGACGCGCUUUCGCGAAUCGCGAUCGAGCGCGGACCACGAGCGACGCAGGAAGCCAGCGAAGAGGCGCGGCCGAGACUUUUUUUUGCCACUAAAAAAAAUCAAGACAGCAUUAUAAUAAUAAAGAUAAGACAAAGAGAAAGAAUUAAGGAUUAGGGACUGUACAAUGGAACGUCGAAGUUGCAUUAACAAAAAAAAUACUAUUUUUUUUUUCAUUUUUUUUUUUUUUUUUUUUUUUUUUUUGUGAAUACCACAAAUAUUACAAUGUGUGUGUUACAUUUUCAGCAUCAUCAUUACGCUAUUAUUAUAAUUAUAUCGAAAAACACGAAUCUUAGUUUAAAAAAAAAAAAAAAUUCAAUACACAUCAAUGUGUAAAAAGAUUACAAACUAGGUCGAAAAAAUUACUUACUGAAAACUCAUUCAUUAAUCCUAGUUUCUUUUUUACCUUUUUUUCUUUUGUUUCCUCCAUAAAAUGUCGUUUAUUAUUAUUUAUUUUUUUUUUUUGCUAUAAUGUCUAAUACGCUUCUCAGCAGUCAUAAAGAGCGUAAUUGAUUUAUCUAAAUUGCUAAUACGAGAGAGAGAAGAGAAAAAGUGAAAGAGAAGGAAUUAAUUAUUAGUCAAAGAGCGCUCCAAUCACAAUGGAGAUCUUCGAUUCUCUUUUCUUUUUUUUUUUUCAAUCCCAAGAAAAUAAUUACACGUAAUGAAAAUUUCUCUUUACAAAAUUUAAAAAACAAAAAAAAACUAUAAAAAUUUACAAAAAAAUUUCUCUUUUGGAAAAAACAGAUUUCCUUGUGAUUUGAGCGCUUGGUAAAAAAAAAACGAGAUAUACGGAAUUAAAAGCGGAAUCUUUUGGUAAAAAUUUACAUUCAGCUUUUUUUUUUUGAUUCAAAAAAUUCCGCUAUUAAUUUGUUUUCGUAUCGAAGACAAAUUCUUCACAAAAAUGUUCUAUAUUGGUAAAAUGUUAAUGCGCUCUCGUUGACUAUUUUUUUUUUUUUGCUUUCUGAAGAGAAUGUCUUGAUUUAAUUAUAGUUAUAUAUAUUUAUUUAUAUAUUUUGUUUAUAUAGAUAAAUAUACAUUUCGUAGGGCACUGAGAAAAAAUAUUCUCACUCUUUUUAAAACGGUUUGUAUUCGGAUUUUUUUUGGUUCUUGGGAAAAUUUUAAUAUAAACUUGUGAACGGAGCUUAAGUUGCAUUUUUCUUUCUCUGCAAAAUUUUUCGGUUAAAAAAAGCCGAUUUCUUUUUUUUUAAAUUGAAACAAUAAAAUUUCGUACUUUAAGCCCUGUUCACAUGUAAAAAUUUCGUACUUUAAGCUCUGUUCACAUGUAAAAAUUUCGUACUUUAAGCCCUGUUCACAUGCACAAAUUUCAUAUUUUCCCAAGAACAUUUGGAAUUCGACUUUUUUUUUUUUUUACACAAAUAA